AUUGAACGCUGGCGGCAGGCCUAACACAUGCAAGUCGAACGAGUGGCGGACGGGCGAGUAAUGCUUGGGCAUCUGGCUUAUGGAGGGGGAUAACGACGGGAAACUGUCGCUAAUACUGCGUAACAUAGGAUGUGCCCUAGUGGGAUUAGGUAGUUGGUGGGGUAAUGGCCUACCAAGGCGACGAUCUCUAGCUGGUCUGAGAGGAUGACCGGCCACACCGGGACUGAGACACGGCCCGGACUCCUACGGGAGGCAGCAGUAGGGAAUAUUGCGCAAUGGAGGCAAGCUGACGCAGCCAUGCCGCGUGAGUGAAGAAGGCCUUCGGGUUGUAAAGUUCUGUCGGUGGAGAGGCGUUAAUCACAGAAGAAGCACCGGCUAACUCCGUGCCAGCAGCCGCGGUAAUUC
rnacentral:rRNA from 1 species